AUCCCUUUGUAGUUCAUAAGUGUGAUGACUGGGUUUUAACACUAAUGUGUAAGAUGUGCCUACCUUAAACCUUAUUAUGAGUUCAGUACAUUAGCUGUCUGACA